UUCCCUUUUACCACCCUCACUGCCUCACAGUCUGUCUCCUAGAAAAGAAAUAAGGUGUUUGCCGUACUCCUAACUACCAGUACCCAAAACUACACAAUUAAUCACAACAUAAAUACCAUUGCCUUAAACAAAUCUUAGUUCAGUCACCAGUUUAAGUUGAGAGUGGGGGUAUCCAUGGCAUUUUCCAACUAUGUCCCUAUUUUACAAGUCAAAAAAAGGUAGAACCUUUUAUAAUGUUGCCAAACAAAGACUCAACAAACUUACCUGAGACUCCCUGUCUCUGCCAGUCUGUCCCUGCCCAUCUGUCCCCAGCUCUGCUGUCUGUGUGCCCUCUGUUGCCUGAUCUGCCUAAUGACAUCAUUGUGAAACGUUACCAUUAGCAUUUCACUUCUUUCUAAUGAACAUUUUAUCAACUAGUCUUAGGCUACUAGGGUUCUUGUUUUGCGUUUUGGUGUACUGAAAAAUAAUCUGAUGUCUGUCUUUUUACUUUUUUCUGACAUUUUUCUACCUGGCAGGCUGGCUAUCUGCGCAAACACACACACAGUGUGUAGGUUAUUUACAGUAGGAGAUGGGCUUAUAUCAUCUUAUCUUCUAUCAUUCUAUAUGGACUUCGAUCUAAAAGGUAGCUAGCAAAUGUGAAACGGAUUGCAGUGACAAGAGUUGACAGCUGUAUGAGUUCAUGAGUUCACCAUUUACACAACAUAUGCUGCAACCUUUUGUAAUUUUAAUAGUUUGUUUCAUAUUGGCUGGCUUCUGUAGUAUAUCAUAACAUAUAUUAUUUACUCAUAGCCUAGCAGAGUGGCCUGGAACCAUAUAACUAAAACACAUCCCAUGACUGAGACUUAGGGGGCGAUUACUCAAACAUACUUCUGCAUUAACCCAGACACAUUCUGUCCAGGUCAAAAGCACAUUCUAACCACAAACCAACUGUAAAGCACCAAACACAAUGGUCGAACUGAAGUUAUCACAUAAAUCCCCACCAAGGCAGGGAAACUCCCUAGCCUAAAGCACCAACGCUUAGUCCCAGUUCCCCCUAUCGCCCCCUAACUCAUGGCCUCUUGACACAUAUCUUGACACACACAUUGACACGCACGUACAGUAUAGCGCACGAACACACACACCCCACACUCAUUUCAACUGACAUCCCUGGACACACAAACCCCUUCUUGGACCACAGUCAGUUCCAGUUCCCCUUUUCUCAACCCCUUGACACACACAGACACACAGACAUCUCAACGCACACACACCCCACACUCAAGUCAACUGAGCUGGGGCCAGGAUCAGACAACUUCAAGAAGCACCAAUGGGGCACUGGCAAAGGGUCGGACAGGACCUGCCUCCAACUUCCACCAACCAGUCGGAUGACAGAACUACAAGAAUCAACAUACGUCAUUCUGUGUUUAAAUACCUUUGCACACUCUGUUUAGGGAUCCUUUUUCAGCUGACUCCUUCUGAGCCAAAUGAGAGGAUCCGUGCACGCUUUGUAUCAGAUAUCUUUACCUUUAAUAAACCUGCCUUGAAUCAUACCAUAUCCACCUGGUCCAGCGUCUCAACUUGGUCUCUCUCCUCUAGUAACAGUACGUCAAUCAAACAUGGUAGCAGAGGAUGGUUGAUAUAAACACCUAAAUUCGGUCCAAAAGAGGUUGAUGAGAGGAGAGGCGAGUUGGAGGCACAAUCCAGAGGGACGGGUGACCUGCAAAGGAGCCGCCGGGGAUUCAUCUCACCUCAGGAACCUGAUCUAAAAAAGUCGACUAAACAAAGGAUUUUAUGCAUUACAGGUGAACUACAGGUGAAGUCACUCAAUCCAGUCCCAGAGGCUUGGGGACCAUAGAAGACCCCUGGUGACAGCUAGCUGAAAGAGCUACCCAGAUUCAUAUCGCACGGCGGGUGGGUAAGACACGUUUUCACUGUCGGACAAUAAACAGAGUUCGGGAGAAGAACUGGAAUUAACAGAAUUCCGGGGGCCAACUCUCGAAUGAAGUAACCCUACCUGUCCUAUCACCCCUGUUUUUGUUCAUAGAAGUGAGGAUGUGUCUGGCUCUGGCUAUGUGAUGUGUAUUUUGUUCCAAAAUAAGCAUAAGAGAUCCCUAGAUCUGGGUAGACAGGAAGUUAGAGUAGAGAUUACAUGAUAACCGACUUCGGACAGUUCUAGGAUUAGAGAAGAGGGUAUCCUUAUAGCAUAGGGGAUCCCACAAAGGUGGAUAGGUUUUCCAUGAUAUGGGGAAACCUGGGAGCAAUGUUGAACUUUGUAAAGGUGAUGAAAUCCUACUAACCAUAAAAAUAUUAAGCUCUCUGAUGCAGGCACUCACACCCUCGGACUACAAAGGACGAGGACAGACAUGAUGGGUGUGUUUUCUAUUAAGGUACUGCCAAGACCAGAGGUAACCGGACACACUCCUCUACCACCACUGUGUUAAAAAUACCAUUCAGGUAAUUAAUGUUAGAGACUAUUCGGCUAUUGAUCAAUUAGGAACUGAGACUGGUUUUGAUAGUAGGGACAAUUUGUGGCUGUCUUAUAUGAGGUACACAGCUAAAACCCUGAGAAGAAAGGACUGUAUUAUUUGUAGUCAUGCUAGACCUGUUCUGGCUACACACCCAUUUGCUGUAGGAGAAGGAGAGGGGUGGUUGUGUAUUCUGAGAAGUUUUUACCAGGUUAAGCCCAAUUCAACCCUCUGUUCCUCUUUGAGCCUUGUGUUUCCUGCAGUACCUCCUCAUCGGGCCUCUUGGGGUGUUGAGGCAUAUGGGGGCAAUUACGAGUGCAUCACGGGUACAGGUAAUGGCAUUGAUUAUGGGAGAUUGCCUGAAGCUGAUUGCAGUAGUAACAUAACCAUUAAUUCCACUUGGCCAGUUACAGGCCUAAACCAAACUAGUGGUCUGGCUGAUGUGUGGAGCCAAAAGAGUGCUGAGACCCAUUCUUAGAGGAGAAUGGCAAGGUACGUGUGGUCUGACCAGUUUGAUAAUUCCACUGACCAUUGUUGAUGUUGCUGCUGAACAGCUGCUGAGUUCUGUAUCCAGGGGACCUGAAAACAUUCCAUCCCAUGGGAGACAUAGAUGUAGUGUUCCAUGGACAGAGGAUGUAGUUGACAUACACACUAACCUGUUGGGAGUGCCAGUGGGGAUUCCUCAUGAGUUUCAGGCCUUGGGUAGGAAUGAUGGACUCUGGCACUUACUACCUACUAUGGGUCUAGCCAUAGUGGAUGCUAGACAGACUGCAUGGAUUAAUUAUAUCUACUAUAAUAAACAGCGUUUUGUGAAUUACUCCCGUGAUGCACUCACUGGUAUGUCUGAACAGUUUGAGGCCACAUUUGGGGUUUCCAGACAGAAUAGACUUGCCUGGGAUAUGCUUCUUGCCAGUCAGGGGGACGUCUGCAAGAUGUUCGGUGAACAAUGUUGCACGUAUAUUCCUAAUAAUACCAGUCCAGAUGGUAGUAUAUCUAAGGCGGGCUUGAUGCACUAUCUGCUAAGAUGAGGUCCACGGGGGGGGGGGGGGGGGUGGAGGAGUCUGUUCUCUUGGCCUGGUUUGGUAAGUACACUGGUAUGAUGGUUACUGGAUUUCUGACCCUAAUUCUUGUAUUAUUUGUUAUUGAUGUGAUGUGCUGCUUGCAUGCUGAGAGGACCAGAUGGUUUCUAAUAAUUCUUUACUCUGUUUUCCAUGACCAAAGUUUUAUCCUACAUCUUACAUGUCAAUAACAAUAAAGUUUUAUCCUGUUUUUGAUAAGUGACACCCUUGUGGGUGACAAGAGGGGGAAAUUAUUUUUCUUUGUGGGCCAUUUCCGUAUAGACUUACCUAGUUUAGGCUAUUUUUCCUUUUGGAUUAUGUUUUCGUUUUUGCUGGGAGUAAUGUAUCUGGACUAUAUCACAUCUCUUAGGAGAUGUGAAGAGAGGGAAUCGCAACUUUUUCCUGCGGGAAAAAGUUGGCUUAUGUGGACAAGCAUUUUACUUUUAUUUUGAGCUGUUGUUCUCCGCUCUGUUAAAUGAGGGUUGUAAGUUCCUAGGUGGCUGGUAGCCAACUUAGUACAUAGUGGGAUUGAAUGGAGAACAUGAUGGUAAUACAUAUAUAUCUAUUUCUGUUUAAUACCGUGCCUUAUUUCAUAGUCCCUUUGGGAGAAGUUUCUCUUUGUGUCUGGAUCUAGUUAGGUUGUGUCACGUCUCUGGUGAGAUGUGAAGAGGGGGAAUCACAAAAUUUGUCCGCUGACAAAUUUUUAGCUUAUGCUCCUAUAUGUUCACAUUUCGCCCUGGAUUAUGUUCACGUCUAGUAGACGUGAAGAGGGGGAUUUGUAGUAUAUCAUAACAUAUAUUAUUUACUCAUAGCCUAGCAGAGUGGCCUGGAACCAUAUAACUAAAACACAUCCCAUGACUGAGACUUAGGGGCGAUUACUCAAACAUACUUCUGCAUUAACCCAGACACAUUCUGUCCAGGUCAAAAGCACAUUCUAACCACAAACCAACUGUAAAGCACCAAACACAAUGGUCGAACUGAAGUUAUCACAUAAAUCCCCACCAAGGCAGGGAAACUCCCUAGCCUAAAGCACCAACGCUUAGUCCCAGUUCCCCCUAUCGCCCCCUAACUCAUGGCCUCUUGACACAUAUCUUGACACACACAUUGACACGCACGUACAGUAUAGCGCACGAACACACACACCCCACACUCAUUUCAACUGACAUCCCUGGACACACAAACCCCUUCUUGGACCACAGUCAGUUCCAGUUCCCCUUUUCUCAACCCCUUGACACACACAGACACACAGACAUCUCAACGCACACACACCCCACACUCAAGUCAACUGAGCUGGGGCCAGGAUCAGACAACUUCAAGAAGCACCAAUGGGGCACUGGCAAAGGGUCGGACAGGACCUGCCUCCAACUUCCACCAACCAGUCGGAUGACAGAACUACAAGAAUCAACAUACGUCAUUCUGUGUUUAAAUACCUUUGCACACUCUGUUUAGGGAUCCUUUUUCAGCUGACUCCUUCUGAGCCAAAUGAGAGGAUCCGUGCACGCUUUGUAUCAGAUAUCUUUACCUUUAAUAAACCUGCCUUGAAUCAUACCAUA